UAUAGCAGUUUUGUGACAGUACGUGGCAGUGUGAGACCGUAGUUCGCCACAGUGACUGUAGCAAAGAACACGUGCAGCUCUCUUCUCCUCACAACUAUGGACGAUUCAACAGCGACAAGCCACAUCUCUCUGUCUCACGUUUCUGUCCUGUAUUUCAGGUUCUGAGGUGGCUGCAGAAAGGCUUGGGGCAGUUUUGAUGUACAGCUGGGUAUCAUCAGCAUAGCAAUGAAAAGACAUCCAUAUCUGCUGAGGACACGUCCAAGGGGGAGCAUGUAGAUGGUAAACAUGGGUUUACCAUCUUCAUCUACUGGAAAGAACUCCUCAUCCAGUUCCAGGAAAGGUGUUAGAAAGUCGGAGGGCAUGUUUCACUCCACCGUCCACUCGCUGAGUGAAGG